rnacentral:rRNA from 1 species
UACGUAGGGGGCAAGCGUUGUCCGGAAUCAUUGGGCGUAAAGAGCGCGUAGGCGGCCCUGUAAGUCCGCUGUGAAAGUCAAGGGCUCAACCCUUGGAUGCCGGUGGAUACUGCAGGGCUAGAGUUCGGAAGAGGCGAGUGGAAUUCCUGGUGUAGCGGUGAAAUGCGCAGAUAUCAGGAGGAACACCGAUGGCGAAGGCAGCUCGCUGGGACGAUACUGACGCUGAGGCGCGAAAGCGUGGGGAGCAAACAGG